UACGUAGGGGGCAAGCGUUAUCCGGAUUUACUGGGUGUAAAGGGAGCGUAGACGGAUGGACAAGUCUGAUGUGAAAGGCUGGGGCUCAACCCCGGGACUGCAUUGGAAACUGCCCGUCUUGAGUACCGGAGAGGUAAGCGGAAUUCCUAGUGUAGCGGUGAAAUGCGUAGAUAUUAGGAGGAACACCAGUGGCGAAGGCGGCUUACUGGACGGUAACUGACGUUGAGGCUCGAAAGCGUGGGGAGCAAACAGG
rnacentral:rRNA from 1 species